rnacentral:rRNA from 1 species
ACGGGAGGCAGCAGUAGGGAAUAUUGCACAAUGGGGGAAACCCUGAUGCAGCAACGCCACGUGUGGGAAGACGCAUUUCGGUGUGUAAACCACUGUCGUGAGGGAAUAAGGCUGAGUUUCGGCUCAGUUGAAUGUACCUCGAAAGGAAGCACCGGCAAACUUCGUGCCAGCAGCCGCGGUAAUACGAGGGGUGCAAGCGUUGUUCGGAAUCACUGGGCGUAAAGGGAGCGUAGGCGGAGACGCAAGCAGUCUGUACAAUACCGGGGCCCAACCCCGGACCUGCAGACUGGACUGUGUCUCUUGGAUAGUUCAGGGGCAGGCGGAAUUCCUGGUGUAGCGGUGGAAUGCGUAGAGAUCAGGAAGAACACCGAUGGCGAAGGCAGCCUGCUGGGGACUCAUCGACGCUGAGGCUCGAAAGUGCGGGUAGCAAACAGGAUUAGAUACCCUGGUA